CAAAGUAAAGCUUAUAUAGUUAAGUACUUCAUUUACACUGGGGGGUUUUUUGUGCAAUUCAAUUUAUUUUGA
rnacentral:tRNA from 1 species